GACUUUUUAACUAUAAAUAAGUAUAUAUUUUGAAAAUAUAAAAAAGAAUUUUAAAUUUCUAAAAGUCU
rnacentral:tRNA from 1 species